rnacentral:tRNA from 1 species
GCCGGAGUGGUGAAAUUGGUAUACACGCUACGUUCAGGACGUAGUUCUCGCAAGGGAUUGGAGGUUCGAGUCCUCUCUCCGGCA